UCUAAAAGCAGGUGAGCCACUGACUAACGCACAUUGCGCCAGUUGACAGUUCCACUGUGCGUGUGACAGCGGCUAACCUGGUUUUGGGAA
rnacentral:pre_miRNA from 13 species